UACGUAGGCAGCAAACGUUGUUCGGAAUUACUGGGCGUAAAGAGUGUGUAGGCGGUUCUGCAAGUUUGGUGUGAAAUCUCCCGGCUUAACUGGGAGGGUGCGCCGAAAACUGCAAAGCUAGAGUACUGGAGAGGAAAGCGUAAUUCCUGGUGUAGCGGUGAAAUGCGUAGAUAUCAGGAGGAACACCGGUGGUGUAGACGGCUUUCUGGACAGUAACUGACGCUGGAGAACACGAAAGCGUGGGGAGCAAACAGG
rnacentral:rRNA from 1 species